rnacentral:rRNA from 1 species
UACGGGGGGUGCGAGCGUUGUCCGGAAUCACUGGGCGUAAAGGGCGCGUAGGUGGUUUGAUAAGGGUGUGGUGAAAGCCCGGGGCUCAACCCCGGGUCUGCCGUGCCGACUGUUAAACUCGAGGGCUGUAGAGGCAGACGGAAUUCCGGGUGUAGCGGUGGAAUGCGUAGAGAUCCGGAGGAAGACCGGUGGCGAAGGCGGUCUGCUGGGCAGUUUCUGACACUGAUGCGCGACAGCGUGGGGAGCAAACAGG